AGGGAUGCCCAUGGAUCUGCAGCCUGGGAAAUCCUGUGGCGCUCUGGGAGACAACUCCACAUACCAAUUACGGAACAUAGAAUAACUCCAAAGCAACUUUUUCCUGGUUGGCUUCCUGUUGUCUUCAUUGAACAGAUAGGAACAGUGACAAGAAAUACAACUUGCCCAGAUUUUGAUUCAACUGCAGGGGACACGGGUUCGAGCCCUGGUCUGGGAAGAUCCCACAUGCAGCGGAGCAACUAAGCCCGUGAGCCACAACUACUGAGCCUGCGCGUCUGGAGCCUGUGCUCCGCAACGGGAGAAGCCGUGACAGUGAGAGGCCCGCUCACUGCGAUGAAGAGUGGCCCCCGCUCGCCGCAGCUGGAGAAAGUCCACGCACAGAAACGAAGACCCAACACAGCCAAAAAUAAAUAAAUAAGAGAAAUAAAAUAAAAUAAAGAAUCAGUUCGAAGAUAUUAGAAUAAAUGAAGCUGUUGUUUUUUGCUACCAUCACUAACGGUAGGACAAUUCUAAUAAAAGACUUAAGCUAGAGGAAGAGCUAAUCGUGGAAUGUAGGGCACUCUGAUGUGGAGCGGCUCUGCAGAGACGGCCAGUUCUGCCUCUGCUUGAGUCCAGGUCUCAGUCCGUGGUCAGCUGGGAGCACUGGGAGACCAGGCCACAGGGACAAGGAAACAAGCUGUGAAAAGGACCCAAUGUUAGAUAAAUAAAUGAAUAAAUGCAGUGCCCACCUGGUCUCCCUGUCCGGACUGAUGGAGGAGUCGAGGCCAGCCACGGCCGUUGUCGUCGUCGUCCUUCAGUCCCUCAGGAAUGCAAAGGAAACAGCGCUCACACUGCAGUGUCUUACUGAUCGUCCAGGAGGUUCCCGUGCCCCACCAAGUCUGAACAAG